rnacentral:tRNA from 1 species
CUUCUAUUAUUAUAUAGAGAAAUAGAAUGCUUUUCGUGACAUAGUUGGACG